rnacentral:sRNA from 1 species
CGUUGGCUCCAGACAAAUAAACAUGGAGUCCAUCUUCCACGAGAAACAAGAAGGCUCACUUUGUGCUCAGCAUUGCCUGAAUAACUUAUUGCAAGGAGAAUAUUUUAGCCCUGUGGAAUUAUCCUCAAUUGCACAUCAGCUGGAUGAGGAGGAGAGGAUGAGAAUGGCAGAAGGAGGAGUUACUAGUGAAGAUUAUCGCACGUUUUUACAGCAGCCUUCUGGAAAUAUGGAUGACAGUGGUUUUUUCUCUAUUCAGUGGUUUAACUUGAAUUCUCUCUUGACGGGUCCAGAAUUAAUAUCAGAUACAUAUCUUGCACUUUUCUUGGCUCAAUUACAACAGGAAGGUUAUUCUAUAUUUGUUGUUAAGGGUGAUCUGCCAGAUUGCGAAGCUGACCAACUCCUGCAGAUGAUUAGGGUCCAACAGAUGCAUCGACCAAAACUUAUUGGAGAAGAAUUAGCACAACUAAAAGAGCAAAGAGUCCAUAAAACAGACCUGGAACGAGUGUUAGAAGCAAACGAUGGCUCAGGAAUGUUAGACGAAGAUGAGGAGGAUUUGCAGAGGGCUCUGGCACUAAGUCGCCAAGAAAUUGACAUGGAAGAUGAGGAAGCAGAUCUCCGCAGGGCUAUUCAGCUAAGUAUGCAAGGUAGUUCCAGAAACAUAUCUCAAGAUAUUCCACAGACAUCAGGUACAAAUCUUACUUCAGAAGAGCUUCGGAAGAGACGAGAAGCCUACUUUGAAAAUCACAACUCAGAAGUAGAUGAAGGAAAAUUCUGAUCAGCUGACAUCCUCUUAAUACAGCAGCAAAAGCAGCAACAGCAGCAGCAGCAGCAGCAGCAGCAGCAGCAGCAGGGGGACCUAUCAGGACAGAGUUCACAUCCAUGUGAAAGGCCAGCCACCAGUUCAGGAGCACUUGGGAGUGAUC